rnacentral:rRNA from 1 species
GGUUGCGAUCAUACCAGCACUAAUGCACAGGAUCCCAUCAGAACUCCGCAGUUAAGCGUGCUUGGGCGAGAGUAGUACUAGGGUGGGUGACCCCCUGGGAAGUCCUCGUGUUGCUACCC